UGCACAGUGGUGCAGUUGGUAGCACUGUUGCCUUGUACCAAGAAGGUCCUUGGUUCAACUCCCAACCAGGGGCCUGUCUGCAU